AAACUCAGCUGGUUAGAGUGUGGUGCUGAUAAUGCCAAGGUUGCAGGUUCGAGUCCUGAUCCUCA